UCUUUCUCGAUUCUCUUUACAACCAAGACGAUGAAUUCCAUACUUCCAUCAAAAAUGUCCUUAUUAACAACUUUGUAAAACUAUGGCAACUGAUAUUCCAAACCGAGGAGAAUAUUUUUAGGAACUUUUCAAUAAUGUAUGCCAAAGUCCCAAAGCAAGGCAACGUUGAUGACUGUGGGGUGUUUACUAUGAAAUUUAUGGAGAUUUUCAAACCCGAGGUGGACACAUGCUCAUUAUUUUGCAAGGAAGACAUUAUUCAUAUCAGAAUUCAGAUUGCCAAUCAGCUAUUUUUCUGCAAAAGGAACAAUGUAGAUAAAUCAGUGGUUCUGAACUAUAAGAUCCAGGCAUAGGUCCUUUGUGGCGUUAUUUUUUGGGAAUUAAGAAGCAGAAUACUUGUGUCAUUUUUCAAUUCUAUAAGAACUCUUGAUUAGUAUAUAUUUGUAUUGUACUUAUCAUUUCGUUUUUUAUGUAAAACAUUACUAAUCCAUAU